rnacentral:rRNA from 1 species
AUAAUACUCCAUAGAUUAGAGACACUGGAAUGUUCUUUAGUCGAAAGUUCUGGCGCCUUAGGAUGGAUCUGCGGUCGAUUAGGUUGUUGUUGGGGUAACGGCCCAACAAGCCUGUAAUCGAUACGGGUUGUGGGAGCAAGAGCCCGGAGAUGGAAUCUGAGACACGAUUCCAGGCCCUACGGGGCGCAGCAGGCGCGAAAACUUUACAAUGCAGGAAACUGUGAUAAGGGAACUCCGAGUGCCCGUAUACGCGGGCUGUCCAGGUGUUUAAAAAUCAUCUGAAGAAAGGGCCGGGCAAGACCGGUGCCAGCCGCCGCGGUAAUACCGGCGGCUCGAGUGGUGGCCACUAUUAUUGGGCUUAAAGCGUCCGUAGCUGGACCGAUAAGUCUCUUGGGAAAUCCGCCGGCUCAACCGGCGGGCGUCUAAGGGAUACUGUUAGUCUAGGGACCGGGGGAGGUGAGAGGUACUCCGGGGGUAGGAGUGAAAUCCUGUAAUCCCCGGGGGACCACCGAUGGCGAAGGCAUCUCACCAGAACAGCUCCGACAGUGAGGGACGAAAGCUGGGGGAGCGAACCGGAUUAGAUACCCGGGUAGUCCCAGCCGUAAACUAUGCGCGUUAGGUGU